CGAAAUUUUGGUCAAUAGGGUACAGGUUCCCCGGUGGACCAGUUAUGUAGAUAAAGGAAGGCGGACUAGGUGGUGGUGGACAGUAUUGGGAUGGCGACUUUUUUGGUGUAGGUGGCGGAAGAGCGGGCGGUGAUGGUGGUGGAGGGCAUGGUGGAGGCGGCGACGGUGGUGGAGGACUUUGUACGCAUGAUGGGGUACACUUGAUGCCUUGAUCACCUGGUACUGUGCUCUCGUCAAGCUUCCUUGAUUCCAAAGCGUCGAUGGGGUAUGCAACAGUGGCGAUUAGGAAGCUU
rnacentral:lncRNA from 1 species